UACGUAGGGUGCGAGCGUUAAUCGGAAUUACUGGGCGUAAAGCGUGCGCAGGCGGUUUUGUAAGCCAGAUGUGAAAGCCCCGGGCUUAACCUGGGAAUGGCAUUUGGGACUGCACGGCUGGAGUGCGGCAGAGGGGGAUGGAAUUCCGCGUGUAGCAGUGAAAUGCGUAGAUAUGCGGAGGAACACCGAUGGCGAAGGCAAUCCCCUGGGCCUGCACUGACGCUCAUGCACGAAAGCGUGGGGAGCAAACAGG
rnacentral:rRNA from 1 species